rnacentral:rRNA from 1 species
CCUACGGGCGGCUGCAGUGGGGAAUAUUGCACAAUGGGCGCAAGCCUGAUGCAGCCAUGCCGCAUGUGUGAAGAAGGCCUUCGGGUUGUAAAGCACUUUCAGCGGGGAGGAAGGCGGUGAGGUUAAUAACCUCAUCGAUUGACGUUACCCGCAGAAGAAGCACCGGCUAACUCCGUGCCAGCAGCCGCGGUAAUACGGAGGGUGCAAGCGUUAAUCGGAAUUACUGGGCGUAAAGCGCACGCAGGCGGUCUGUCAAGUCGGAUGUGAAAUCCCCGGGCUCAACCUGGGAACUGCAUUCGAAACUGGCAGGCUAGAGUCUUGUAGAGGGGGGUAGAAUUCCAGGUGUAGCGGUGAAAUGCGUAGAGAUCUGGAGGAAUACCAGUGGCGAAGGCGGCCCCCUGGACAAAGACUGACGCUCAGGUGCGAAAGCGUGGGGAGCAAACAGGAUUAGAUACCCGGGUAGUC